UACGUAGGCAGCAAGCGUUGUUCGGAGUUACUGGGCGUAAAGGGUGCGUAGGCGGCUUUUUAAGUUUGGUGUGAAAUCUCCCGGCUCAACUGGGAGGGUGCGCCGAAUACUGAGAGGCUAGAGUGUGGGAGAGGAAAGUGGAAUUCCUGGUGUAGCGGUGAAAUGCGUAGAUAUCGGAAGGAACACCUGUGGCGAAAGCGGCUCACUGGACCAUCACUGACGCUGAUGCACGAAAGCUAGGGGAGCAAACAGG
rnacentral:rRNA from 1 species